CAAGCAUGCGCACCUGUUAAUCCCAGAAUUUAGGAGGGUGAGGCAGAAGGAUUGCCAGUUUUAGUCUAGCCGGGACUACACAGCAUGACCCUAUCCAAAAAAGGAAACGGUAAGUGGAGAUGGCCAAAGAGAUGUAGGUGAAAGCCACUCCAAAAGCCUCUGCUCAAGAACUUUUGCUCCCGUACCCUCCCUCCUGUCCUCUGCCCCAUCCUCCCGAGGUGCAGCAGCUGUCGCCGUCCCUGAGAUGACAAGUGUAAGAACAAAGACCACUAAGGCAGGCAGAGAGGCUCAGGGGUCCCUUCUUGGUGACCACUCUGCGCAGUGACUAUGUCUGUGGGGAUUAUGGAGGUGUGAACUUGGUUUUGAGGUAUGAGAGCCACUGCUGGGCAGCCUUCUGUUUGCGGAUAAAAUUAUCCCUACGCAAUCCAUCACCGAUGUUAGCACGUUGGGUUGCCUCCGUGCAGGGCGGUGCGCAUGCAGAGUGAGGAAUGUGUUGUUGCGAAGCGCCUACCUGGGACCACAGGAAACAGGAGGUCCCAGGAAACAGGAGGCAGAGCCAUCGAGGGUCUGGGCUGCGCAUGCGUCAGCACAGGUGGCGACCUCCCUAAGAGAGGCGUGCCUUCCAGAAGCAGCCAGUCCUGCAUGGUACAUCUCCCCCCACCCCACAAGCUAACAGAUGGAAAGAAACUACACAUUUCAACCCCUGAUGGAAACCAGACCUUUAAGUUUAUGGUAAGCCAACAGGAGGUGACCAGGACUGGGGAGGUGUGGACCAGAGGGUGGGACACACACACAUCAUAUACACCACACACAUAAUUAUACACACACACACAGCCACCCAGUAUUGCCCAACCAUGAACCACAUGGAACUUCUAAACCUGGGAUGACAGAUGGCCUUCUCACCUGGCUCUCUGCUCCUGUGUCUGCGGCUGAGGACUCUGGUGUCUCAGGGCACAUGCGCAGGUAUUCGGGAUGCCCACUACACUGUGUCGACCUCUACCAGCGCAGCAAAUGUCCGGUAACUCUGCUUCACUUUGACACCUCGGCUCAAUCUUCCUCUCUCUCCUGUGUGUUCACCUAAACUGCUGCUGCCAACCUCAGGUAGGAUCCAGGUCAAGUUCCACUGACCGUUGCUGUGACCAAAUGCACAGACAGCUGAGGACGGGGAGGCAUCUACCUCAAGAGCAGCCUACACUGGGUGCAGUGCAGUGAU